rnacentral:rRNA from 1 species
UACGAAGGGGGCUAGCGUUGCUCGGAAUCACUGGGCGUAAAGCGCACGUAGGCGGAUCGCUAAGUCAGGGGUGAAAUCCUGGAGCUCAACUCCAGAACUGCCUUUGAUACUGAAGAUCUUGAGUUCGGGAGAGGUGAGUGGAACUGCGAGUGUAGAGGUGAAAUUCGUAGAUAUUCGCAAGAACACCAGUGGCGAAGGCGGCUCACUGGCCCGAUACUGACGCUGAGGCACG